CCUACCCUUGACAUGUCAGGAAGUCCGCAGAGAUGUGGAUGUGCUCGAAAGAGAACCUGAACACAGGUGCUGCAUGGCUGUCGUCAGCUCGUGUCGUGAGAUGUUGGGUUAAGUCCCGCAACGAGCGCAACCCUUGUCAUUAGUUGCUACGAAAGGGCACUCUAAUGAGACUGCCGGUGACAAACCGGAGGAAGGUGGGGAUGACGUCAAGUCCUCAUGGCCCUUAUGGGUAGGGCUUCACACGUCAUACAAUGGUCGGUACAGAGGGCUGCCAACCCGCGAGGGGGAGCUAAUCCUUUAAAACCGAUCGUAGUCCGGAUUGUAGUCUGCAACUCGACUGCAUGAAGUCGGAAUCGCUAGUAAUCGCGGAUCAGAAUGUCGCGGUGAAUACGUUCCCGGGUCUUGUACACACGCAAUC
rnacentral:rRNA from 1 species